CUCUGAAGACGGUGGGGUGGGAGGGUGGGGGGCGUGCAUGAGGCUCUCUGGGUUUGGGGCUAGCCUGGUCUGCUUUGUGUCUUCUAGGCCAGCCACAGCUACAUAUUGAACUCCUUUCUCAAAAAGGAAACAAAAAAAGAGGAAAAUACCCAUCCAAUUAAUAAUCACAAACAAAUAUAUGCAAACAGCACGCAGAUGUUUCGCUGAGGUCUGCCUUAGACUUGCUAAGAAAAUUUUUAUUCAAGAAAGAAAUUGUGUAAACGUUCAGAGGUGAUAACGCUAUGCAGCUGUUUGGAAAACAAAGACCAAAUGUCACUUCUGACUACACUGCUAUUGUGUUCUCCAACAAGUAGUACAUUAUGCUCGACCCAAUCAAAGUCGCUUCGUAUUUGCACGCCCUUGCCAGAUUGAGACAUUCUUUGUUGGAAAACUCCGAAAGGAAGGCUUUAUUAUUACAAAGAGGAUUAUUUUCUACCCUUGACCCUGAAUUAAAUUUACAUCUUUGAAAUUAAAACAAAAGUUUCAUCUGUU